GACGAACGCUGGCGGCAUGCCUAACACAUGCAAGUCGAACGAGACCUUCGGGCCUAGUGGCGCACGGGGGCGUACCACGGGGGAACCUGCCCUUAGGUUCGGAAUAACUCACCGAAGGGGGAGUUAAGACAGGUUAAUGUCAUAGGACCAAAGAUUUAUCGCCUUUGGGUGGGGCCGGGUUGGCUUGGCCGGUUGGUAGGGUAAAAGCCUGCCAAGGCGACGUUCCAUAGCUGGUCUGGGAGGAGGACCAGCCGCACUGGGACUGCGACACGGCCUAGACUGCUACGGGAGGCUGCAGUGUGGAGUAUUGGACGCGGGGCGAAGGCCUGGUCCAGCAGUGCCGCGUGUGUGAUGAAGGCCUUAGGGUUGCAAAUCUCUUUUACCCGGGAUGAUAAUGACAGUACCGGGAGAAGAAGCACCGGCUAACUCCGUG
rnacentral:rRNA from 1 species